AGCACCGUAGCACAGCUGGAAGUGCGCCGGUCUCAUAUCUCUUCCCCUGGGGGUCCUGAGCAAUCCGGAGGUCGCUUGAUCGAAACAAGCCGUUGCUA